rnacentral:rRNA from 2 species
AGUCUGACGGAGCAACGCCGCGUGAGUGAUGAAGGCUUUCGGGUCGUAAAACUCUGUUGUUAGGGAAGAACAAGUACGAGAGUAACUGCUCGUACCUUGACGGUACCUAACCAGAAAGCCACGGCUAACUACGUGCCAGCAGCCGCGGUAAUACGUAGGUGGCAAGCGUUAUCCGGAAUUAUUGGGCGUAAAGCGCGCGCAGGCGGUUUCUUAAGUCUGAUGUGAAAGCCCACGGCUCAACCGUGGAGGGUCAUUGGAAACUGGGGAACUUGAGUGCAGAAGAGAAAAGCGGAAUUCCACGUGUAGCGGUGAAAUGCGUAGAGAUGUGGAGGAACACCAGUGGCGAAGGCGGCUUUUUGGUCUGUAACUGACGCUGAGGCGCGAAAGCGUGGGGAGCAAACAGGAUUAGAUACCCUGGUAGUCCACGCCGUAAACGAUGAGUGCUAAGUGUUAGAGGGUUUCCGCCCUUUAGUGCUGCAGCUAACGCAUUAAGC